AUUGAACGCUGGCGGCAUGCCUUACACAUGCAAGUCGAACGGUAGAGUAGCAAUACUCGAGAGUGGCGAACGGGUGAGUAACAUAUCGGAACGUGCCCAAUCGUGGGGGAUAACGUAGAGAAAUUUACGCUAAUACCGCAUACGAUCUAAGGAUGAAAGCGGGGGAUCGCAAGACCUCGCGCGAUUGGAGCGGCUGAUAUCAGAUUAGGUUGUUGGUGAGGUAAAAGCUCACCAAGCCGACGAUCUGUAGCUGGUUUGAGAGAACGACCAGCCACACUGGGACUGAGACACGGCCCAGACUCCUACGGGAGGCAGCAGUGGGGAAUUUUGGGACAAUGGGCGAAAGCCUGAUCCAGCAAUGCCGCGUGCAGGAAGAAGG
rnacentral:rRNA from 1 species